rnacentral:rRNA from 1 species
UACAGAGGUCUCGAGCGUUGUUCGGAUUCAUUGGGCGUAAAGGGCGCGUAGGCGGUUCAUUAAGUUGGAUGUGAAAACUCUGGGCUUAACCCAGAGCCUGCAUUCAAAACUGAUGGGCUGGAGUUCUGGAGGGGAUAGUGGAAUUCCAGGUGUAGCGGUGAAAUGCGUAGAUAUCUGGAGGAACACCGGUGGCGAAGGCGGCAUCCUGGACCGGUAUUGACGCGUGAGG